AAAGAGGGGGCAACCCCUUGAGUAAAGUGGCGACCGGGUGAGUAACACGUGACUAACCUACCUUUCAGUGGGGAAUAACCUCGGGAAACCGGGGCUAAUACCGCAUAACAUCCUGUGGUUGAGAUACCGUUGGAUCAAAGGAGCAAUUCGCUGAUAGAGGGGGUCGCGGCAGAUUAGCUAGUUGGCGGGGUAACGGCCCACCAAGGCAGUGAUCUGUAGCCGGCCUGAGAGGGCGCACGGCCACACUGGAACUGAAACACGGUCCAGACUCCUACGGGAGGCAGCAGUGGGGAAUUUUGCGCAAUGGGGGAAACCCUGACGCAGCAACGCCGCGUGGAGGAUGAAGGUCUUUGGAUUGUAAACUCCUUUCGAUCGGGACGAUUAUGACGGUACCGGAAGAAGAAGCACCGGCUAACUCUGUGCCAGCAGCCGCGGUAAUACAGAGGGUGCAAGCGUUGUUCGGAAUUAUUGGGCGUAAAGGGCGCGUAGGCGGUUCGGCAAGUCUUCAGUGAAAUCUCUGGGCUCAACUCAGAGUCUGCUGGGGAAACUGCCGGGCUUGAGUGUGGGAGAGGAGAGUGGAAUUCCUGGUGUAGCGGUGAAAUGCGUAGAUAUCAGGAGGAACACCUGAGGCGAAAGCGGCUCUCUGGACCACAACUGACGCUGAGGCGCGAAAGCUAGGGGAGCAAACAGGAUUAGAUACCCUGGUAGUCCUAGCCCUAAACGAUGAUUGCUUGAUGUAGUUGGUACCCAAUCCAACUGUGUCGCAGCUAACGCGAUAAGCAAUCCGCCUGGGGAGUACGGUCGCAAGGCUG
rnacentral:rRNA from 1 species